UGGGGAAUCUUGCACAAUGGGGGCAACCCUGAUGCAGCGACGCCGCGUGAGCGAUGAAGCCCUUCGGGGCGUAAAGCUCUUUCGACCGGAACGAUAAUGACGGUACCGGGAGAAGAAGCUGCGGCUAACUACGUGCCAGCAGCCGCGGUAAUACGUAGGCAGCAAGCGUUGUUCGGAGUUACUGGGCGUAAAGAGUGCGUAGGCGGUUUUCUAAGUUCGGUGUGAAAUCUCCCGGCUUAACUGGGAGGGUGCGCCGAAGACUGGGACGCUGGAGUGUGGGAAAGGCAGGCGGAAUUCCUGGUGUAGCGGUGAAAUGCGUAGAUAUCAGGAGGAACACCGGCGGUGUAGACGGCUUGCUAGACCAUAACUGACGCCGAGGCACGAAAGCGUGGGUAGCAAACA
rnacentral:rRNA from 1 species